CCCUUAGAUGUCCUGGGCCGCACGCGCGUUACACUGAUGCAUUCAACGAGCUUAUAACCUUGGCCGAGAGGCCUGGGCAAUCUUGUUAACGUGCAUCGUGAUAGGGAUAGAUUAUUGAAAUUAUUAAUCUUGAACGAGGAAUUCCUAGUAAACGCAGAUCAUCAAUCUGCAUUGAUUACGUCCCUGCCCUUUGUACACACCGCCCGUCGCACCUACCGAUUGGAUGGUCCGGUGAAGCCUCGGGAUUGUGGUUCUUGCCGCUUUAUUGUGGCGUGACCGCGAGAACUUGUCUAAACCUUAUCAUCUAGAGGAAGGUGAAGUCGUAACG
rnacentral:rRNA from 1 species